rnacentral:rRNA from 1 species
UUGGGUUCUAAUCAUGCAAGUCGAGCGAACAGAUAAGGAGCUUGCUCCUUUGAAGUUAGCGGCGGACGGGUGAGUAACACGUGGGUAACCUACCUAUAAGACUGGGAUAACUUCGGGAAACCGGAGCUAAUACCGGAUAACAUUUAGAACCGCAUGGUUCUAAAGUGAAAGAUGGUUUUGCUAUCACUUAUAGAUGGACCCGCGCCGUAUUAGCUAGUUGGUAAGGUAACGGCUUACCAAGGCGACGAUACGUAGCCGACCUGAGAGGGUGAUCGGCCACACUGGAACUGAGACACGGUCCAGACUCCUACGGGAGGCAGCAGUAGGGAAUCUUCCGCAAUGGGCGAAAGCCUGACGGAGCAACGCCGCGUGAGUGAUGAAGGGUUUCGGCUCGUAAAACUCUGUUAUUAGGGAAGAACAAAUGUGUAAGUAACUGUGCACAUCUUGACGGUACCUAAUCAGAAAGCCACGGCUAACUACGUGCCAGCAGCCGCGGUAAUACGUAGGUGGCAAGCGUUAUCCGGAAUUAUUGGGCGUAAAGCGCGCGUAGGCGGUUUCUUAAGUCUGAUGUGAAAGCCCACGGCUCAACCGUGGAGGGUCAUUGGAAACUGGGAAACUUGAGUGCAGAAGAGGAAAGUGGAAUUCCAUGUGUAGCGGUGAAAUGCGCAGAGAUAUGGAGGAACACCAGUGGCGAAGGCGACUUUCUGGUCUGUAACUGACGCUGAUGUGCGAAAGCGUGGGGAUCAAACAGGAUUAGAUACCCUGGUAGUCCACGCCGUAAACGAUGAGUGCUAAGUGUUAGGGGGUUUCCGCCCCUUAGUGCUGCAGCUAACGCAUUAAGCACUCCGCCUGGGGAGUACGACCGCAAGGUUGAAACUCAAAGGAAUUGACGGGGACCCGCACAAGCGGUGGAGCAUGUGGUUUAAUUCGAAGCAACGCGAAGAACCUUACCAAUCUUGACAUCCUUUGAAAACUCUAGAGAUAGAGCUUUCCCCUUUCGGGGGACAAAGUGACAGUGGUGCAUGGGUGUCGUCAGCUCGUGUCGUGAGAUGUUGGAUUAGUCCCGCAACGAGCGCACCCUUAAGCUAGUUUGCCAUCAUUAAGCUCGGUCACUCUAGGUUUGGACUGGCGGAUGACAAACCCGGAAGGAAAGGCUGAG